rnacentral:rRNA from 1 species
AACGAACGCUGGCGGCAGGCCUAACACAUGCAAGUCGAGCGGACCCUUCGGGGUUAGCGGCGGACGGGUGAGUAACGCGUGGGAAUAUGCCCUUCUCUACGGAAUAGUCCUGGGAAACUGGGGUUAAUACCGUAUACGCCCUUUGGGGGAAAGAUUUAUCGGGGAAGGAUUAGCCCGCGUUGGAUUAGGUAGUUGGUGGGGUAAUGGCCUACCAAGCCGACGAUCCAUAGCUGGUUUGAGAGGAUGAUCAGCCACACUGGGACUGAGACACGGCCCAGACUCCUACGGGAGGCAGCAGUGGGGAAUCUUAGACAAUGGGGGCAACCCUGAUCUAGCCAUGCCGCGUGAGUGAUGAAGGCCUUAGGGUUGUAAAGCUCUUUCAGCUGGGAAGAUAAUGACGGUACCAGCAGAAGAAGCCCCGGCUAACUCCGUG